rnacentral:lncRNA from 1 species
AUGGUGGGAGAAUCCAGCACUUGCUCAAGUUACAGCCUGCCUUGCCCUGACAUCAGUAUCAGCACCUACUCUGUGGAAAGCCGGCAGUCUGUUAUUGUUGUGGUCAGAAGGACAUGUGUUCCCUUUUGCCUCUGGACAGCCCUGCUGCCCACGGAGAGCUCUGCAGUCAGCAGCCUGCCUGACAGGGUCAUGACUUCCAGAGGUGAGUGUGGCAAUGGACAUGGUGAAUGAAGCACAAACUCUCUUCCCUGCUGAGUAGCCACCUGAUGCACUUAUACACAUCUCUACAAACUGCUGGAGGAUAGUUUUAGUCUCAGGAUCUUCAAUAUAGUGUCAGGACAAGGAGUUUGCCCAAAUAUUUUGUCUAAGCAUUGAGAGUCAGAAUUUAUAUGAAAUUGUAACAGACAGCAUCAUGGUAAUUAUUGUCCCAAUAUCAUGACUCCAGCAUAAAAUCCUUUUCACAAACCUAUCAAACUUCAUCUUAAAACCAGAUGUUUUUGUUUCUUUCUUUGUUUCUCCCCCUAACAAUAUAACAUUGGAAAGGGCUGGUUCAGAAUCCUUAUUCUAAUGCUGUUUAAAGUUAAUGACAGUGCCUUUUUUUGUUCUCCAUUAUGUAUUGAGUUUUCU